AUUGAACGCUGGCGGCAGGCUUAACACAUGCAAGUCGAGCGGGGUGAUGGUGCUUGCACUAUCACUUAGCGGCGGACGGGUGAGUAAUGCUUAGGAAUCCGCCUAUUAGUGGGGGACAACAUCUCGAAAGGGAUGCUAAUACCGCAUACGUCCUACGGGAGAAAGCAGGGGAUCACUUGUGACCUUGCGCUAAUAGAUGAGCCUAAGUCGGAUUAGCUAGUUGGUGGGGUAAAGGCCUACCAAGGCGACGAUCUGUAGCGGGUCUGAGAGGAUGAUCCGCCACACUGGGACUGAGACACGGCCCAGACUCCUACGGGAGGCAGCAGUGGGGAAUAUGGGACAAUGGGGGGAACCCUGAUCCAGCCAUGCCGCGUGUGUGAAGAAGGCCUUAUGGUUGUAAAGCACUUUAAGCGAGGAGGAGGCUCUUUUGGUUAAUACCCAAGAUGAGUGGACGUUACUCGCAGAAUAAGCACCGGCUAACUCUGUGCCAGCAGCCGCCGUAA
rnacentral:rRNA from 1 species